rnacentral:miRNA from 1 species
AAUGGUUCUGACAGCAUGACC